GUUCCAUAUUUUUAUUAGCAAAAUCCCUGUCAUAAAAUGACAACUUAUAACAGGUAUUAACAUUAUACAUUUUAAAAUUAUAAAAUAAGGAGAUGUGGUAUGAUUGCCAUGAGACAAUUAUCCGCCAAAGUUCAAAUGAAGUGAAUGUAAGCAAUAAUAGGCAACUGUACAGCCUUCAACAAUUAGAAAAACCCAUAUUGUAUAGUCGACAUUAAAAAUAUGGAUCUAAUCAAUUUAGAAAACUAACAGCCUAAUUUAUAACACUAUAAUUUGUGAAAAACAAAUAUGACAGACAUGAACCGUAAAAACAAAAAAGGUCCAAUAAAAUGGUUUUUGAUCAUAUGAAUAAGGAAGAAUUGGUAUGAUCAGCUCUUCUGGCUUUGUAUUCAGUUUUGGAUAUUCAAAUAUUAUGGCCUUGAGCAUCACUGUAGAGACAUUAUUGUGGAAAUACACAUCUAAUGCAGUAAAAUUGGUACCUUUUAUGCUAUUUGGCCAAGUUGUCUUGUUUGUUGAUCUUAUUUUGCUGACCAUUUUUGGUAAUAAGUUUCUGUCUGUUUCAGGUGAAGGAACUAAAAAAUGUCUGAUUUAACUGUUUAUUAAUUUUGUAACAGAUAAACCUUGAUCUGUUCAAGACUGUUGAUCAUUUUACCCUUUGUCAGUUCUGCUGUCAGUAACUGUUUUACUUUUGAGAUUUAAGCCAAAAACUGAAAUCUGCUAGAAAUUAAAUUACAGGGGCAAUAACUCAAAAAUAGGUUAUCAUUUUUUUAUUAAAAAUUGAAAAGUGGAUAGACCUUGGAACAGUUAAUCAUUUAUCCUUCAUGUCAGGUUUGUUCAAACUGCUUUAGUUUUAGAGAUACAAAUGUAUAAAACAAAAACUGGAUUUUACCCCCUGUAUUCUCUUUUAUGCAACCUCAACCAUGUUUGAUACAUGAAAUCAUUAGAUAAUUUUAAAAUUAGAGUCACUAUGGAACAUUUGGGUAAAGUUUUGUUACAUUUGCCCCAGUAGUUAUAUAGGAAACAUUUUAUCAAAAGUUUACAUUGAAAGACAGAGGGCCACCAAGUGAGAAAAAGAUGACAUAUCAAAAGACAACAACUAACUAAGAUUCCAGACUUAUAAGGGACAGGCACAUAAAUAUUUGGUCAGGUUGAAUAUAUUAUUUUUUUCAAUCUCAAACCACUAACUUUUUCAAUAUCCGUAAAUAGACUUAUAAAAUGUACAUAAAAGAUCAAAUAACAAAAUCAGUACAGUUAAGGCACUUAACUAUUAAAUAAUGAUAUAAUAUAUAACAAAUCACAGCAAUAACUAACAGCUUGCCUAAAGUCAUGUACCAGGUGGUAUAAAAUCUCUAUUUGAAGAAUUCAUAUUGCAUUAAUUUUGUUCAAUAAUACUCAACCUUAGCAUUUUGCUCAAAUUUUCAGAAGAGAAAUACAAAACAAAAUUUGUUUGGUAUUGCUUCAAAUUAAAUUUAGGGAACUGAUGUCUUUCACUGGAAGAUACCAAAUGCAUUAAUUAAAUAAGAACAUUUUUGACAACCUUUAUCUUUUCAAGGAAAAUACCAAAUACCCAAUAUUUGUUAUAACCUUUUUUAAGUAUUUUAUUAUAACUGAAUUACAUACCUCUGAUAUUCUUCACACACUUACAUAUACUUUGCCUUAAGUAAAUAAUGAAAUCUAUUCAUUUUGAUACUAAUUAUUUCAGGUUGUAUGUAAGAACAUUCUACAUAUGACAGUUAAUUUGUCAGUUCCAGAAUCAUAUCUAGAUAUCAUUAUAUAGCACAAUGACAAAAUUAAUGCAAUACAACUAUAGAAUAUCAAAGACAUCAAAUAAAA
rnacentral:lncRNA from 1 species